CAGAGACAAAACUGGUUCCUCUGCCAUUUUUACCAACAGAUAUUGAAGAGAAAACUACAGUAUUGUAAUUUAUACCAGAACAGUGAAGACAGGAAACAGAAGAAAUAAUCAAGAAAACUUCCUUGGCUUCAGCUCAAGCAAUGACACCAUCACAAUUGUUAAUUAUUUGGUAAACUGAGACUUCCUUGAAACAGACAAGUUGUCAGUGACCCUUGUUCAUGUGUCCAUGACUAAUGUGUUGUUAUCUGGACUGUUCUGGAAAAAAAAUCUGGACACUGUUGGUCUGAGUUGGAAACAGAAUGGCUGGGGCAGAACCAUUUUUAGCAGAUGGCAAUCAGGAAUUAUUUCCCUGUGAAGUCUGUGGAAGACGCUUCGCAGCAGAUGUUCUGGAAAGGCAUGGACCAAUAUGUAGAAAACUCUUCAACAAAAAGCGUAAACCUUUCAAUUCCUUGAAACAAAGAUUACAGGGCACUGACAUUCCCCUUGUGGGGAAAGCUCUUCAAUCCAAGCCUCGACCUGUAAGGAAAUCUAACUGGAGACAACAGCAUGAAGACUUCAUUAAUGCAAUUCGAUCAGCCAAGCAGUGUACAUUAGCCAUUAAAGAAGGCCGGCCUCUCCCCCCUCCACCUCCUCCAUCCAUCAACCCAGAUUAUAUUCAGUGCCCAUAUUGUAUGAGGAGAUUUAAUGAAACUGCAGCCAGUCAACAUAUUAAUUUCUGCAAGGAUCAGUCUUCUCGCCGAGUCUUUGAUCCAGCCCAGACGGCAGCCAAGCUGGCAUCCAGAGCUCAGGGCAGGGCUCAGACAGCUCCAAAGAAAGAACCGACCGUAACCAGUGCCGUGGGAGCUCUGCUACACAACAGGGCCCUGGAGGCCUCGAGUGUGGUCCCAACCAGGCCAGGAUUAGCAGUGGACCCUGCUUCUGGAGCAAAAUUGAGACAAGGAUUUACUAAGUCUUCCAGAAAAGAUUAACUCCUACAGGCCAGACUGGCUUCUUGAAACUCGUCAGCCUGCACGGCUGUGUACCCAGGAAUGCCACCUAAGGGGAAGGAACAGUAGACGUCUGUUGACACGCCCAUGAUUCCUCUCAAGACAUCACGUAGAACAAGGAAUUUUCAUUAGGAAUUAAGCCAUUUUUCCUGUCUAAAUUUAAGGAGGAGAAUCCCAAACUACUCCCAUGUGUAGUGCAGCAAACACAACAUCUGAAACUCCUGUGAUCUGUUAUUUUGGGGACUAAAUGCUGUUUCAUGCCAGGUAGAUCAGGUGUGUUCUGGAGCUGACUGAAGAAGACUACACCAUGUGGAAGUAUCUGAAGUGGACCUUGGGAGGCUUUGGUUGAGGUGAACCACUACUCUCUCUCUCCUCUUGCUGUGGGAGAUUUCCUUCCCUCGGAGAGGUUAAACUGUAGUUUAACAGUCCACCAUGUCAGCUCCACAUGCACCAGUCCAGCCUCAGGGAGCUUGUCUGCCAUCGUCCCGCCCUUUAUGGUCAUCAGCAUCACUGUUAAGUGCGGAGGCUUCCAGAGAGGGUGCUUCCCUCAGUAUCAGUGCUUUGAAGGACUUUGGUAGCAAGUCUCUAUCAUCAAUGAAAAACUAUACAGAAACAUCAGCGGGAGAAAGAAGAUGAUACUCAGAACCCUCAGGAAUGGGAUGAAGCAAUGGGAAGGGCAUAAGCACAGCAAUCUAAGCCUCAGAGAGCACCGAAGACCAAGAGGAGCCAAAGUCCAAGGGGCAAGGACGACCCAGGACUGAUGACCAGGGAGACAGGCGACAGGAAUCCACUAUGAGCAACGGACUUGUCGUCAGAGUACACGCUUCAAGAAUAAUUCUGGUAGGGAUGUGUACAAUGUACUGCAGCAUGCUGGGACCAUUUUGGCUUCUGCCAUAUCUCAGAAGACAUAACAGUGGCACAGAGAGGAAGUGAGGGCAGGGUGAAAAGACACCUAGUAAACAGACCCAUUAGAUUAGGACUUAGGUUAGGUCAGAGGAAAGAGGUGAUGGUGGUGGCGGAGAGGGAAACGAAGGAUGAGCCCCAGGAGAAAAAUCCAGCAAAACACAGGAGUUAGGAGUUCAGUUGUAGACGUGUUGGGUUUAAUGGUGCCUAAUGGGCAUUCAGGCCAGCAAGGAGACCUGCAGCAACGAGAAGCUGAGCUUCUCUUCUAGAAUGAAAUAGAACGAACGGCACCCUUUGGCUUCGGGGAAGUGGAUCCCAUUCUGAAUCUGGCUUGUGUAAGUGACUUUAUAAAUUACAUGGGUGGCCUCAGAUCCCGUCAGUAAGCUCAAAUGAUCAUCAACCUUGAUCAAGAGAGUUUGUUCUCCCCAGAGUGGUUUGGUAAAGUGGGUUGUCCUGGGGGUGAGGAGGAAUUUGUUUUCUUUCCGGCAGGCUGCAGCUAGACUGACCCUCCCCUAGGAUAUCCACUCUGCACCUGGAACAGGGCGGAAGCAGGCUUGUGGGGACAGGUAACCCUCAGAGGCGCCAAUCACAGAAGGAGCCUUCCGCCUCUAAACUCUGCCCGUUCCUCUUGGGUAAAAUAGGGUCGUGACAAGGCUACGGCAAUAAAAAUAAGCAAAAUGAGAAUUAAGACUGCAUUAAAAAAAACUUGAUAAGAUGUUCCAGAACAAUUUCUGGAUGGCAAUAGUAUAAAACAAGACUCUAAAAGCUCAAAACCCCUGUAUGGUUGCCCACUCUACUAGAAGAAGGUAGGCUUUUCAGAGUGGGAAACUUUCUUCGUCAUAAUACAGUUAGCAGACUGAGGAUAAUAUCUAACCUAUUUAAUAGUCAAGGCUAGCCACUGGGGGCUACCUGGAGGUGGGGUGAGGAAGGCAGGAGGAGAAGAGAGAGAAGGGGGUAGAGAACACCAAUAGAACUCUGUCUCAGCUGGAUCGGGAGGAGCCCAGGAACGUGAGCCUCAAAGAGCCACAGAAGCCUAAGAGAAGCCCCACCACCAAGGGGACAGGCCCCGGGCGCCACGGCGGCGGUGCCUCAACGGAAGCAGGUCUGCGAGCACCCACGCCCCUCUCCCGGACAGAGCGGCAGCGGGGGUCGCACGGCGGAGCCGCCUCGGAGCGGCCAAAGCGCUUCGACGGCUGCCGUUCCGCGUAAUACCGUCGGAAAGCAGGGAAGGAAACACCUUUGCAGGUUCGUAAAUCUUCCCUCCUUCUCCUCUCCCCACCACACACUGUGUAUUCUUAAAUAUAACAUUUAGGAAGAAACAUCAAAUGUGCACAAGCAAGCAAAACGGGCAUGGGCAUCCCAGGGGCGAGCGUGAGGUCCAGGGCUGGUUCUCAGGCCGAGACGGGCCGGACCUGGUUUUCAGAGGACUAUUCAUGAACGCGAGGUAGCGGCGCGGGCGGGGGAGAGCCGUUCUGAAACCCAGACAAGAGCCUCUGCUAUUAGGAGAAGAUUUUCUAGUCAUUAAAGUCAGUGAUGGGGACUAUUCCUUUGUGACAGCCGAAAAUAUAUCCCCCUCCUCCCUCCCGGCAAAUCCUCGGCGACUCGCCUUUGGGCCUCUUCAGGGUCGGCUUCUAUAGCUGACAGCGGUGAUCUCCUCCCGGGACUCGGAGAGGAGGGCGCGGAGGAACCAAAACUUACCUAAUUAGCGGCCCGGCCUAUUGUCCUAAUGCGGUUGCCAUUCGAGGGAAAAGAAAAGCCUGGCUCCUUCCCAGGAAGUGUGUGAGGGUAAAGGCCCACACUGAGAAAAGAAAUAAGGAAAGCAGACUAGUCACACUGAUGAUGGAAGCCAGAUUCCUGAGUUAAAAUCUCCCCAACGAAACUUAAAAGCGAUAUGAGAUCUCGAAAGGAUGCUCAAGACUUAGGUGGACUGUUUGACCCUAAAACGAUCUCUAAAUAAACAGAAAAAGGCCUGUUGGUACAGAUGACAAUACAUGAGCAGUGUCUCUGGUUGGCGGAAUUAGAGAUGACUUCGUUUUUCCUUUGUAUCUGGACUUUCUAAAUUUCGGUAAUGACUACUUAGGCUGAGUCUAGGAGUAUACCAGGCGGACAAAAGGGAGGAAGGAGGUGUAUUUCAGGCGGAGGAAGGACAUGGGAAAGCGCAGAGGCAGGAGGCAGCACGGGGCCGCGGGGGCGGGAGGGUGUGAGCACGAGGGCGCAGCGGCCCCAACACAAGUGACCGCGAGAGGAACCCGGGGUUACCCUGUGGGAACUGGGAGCCAGUGAAAGUGAGGCCGUUUCAUCCACAGAUCGCUUUACACAGGAAAAAACUCACCAGUCAUCAGUUGCCCCUCCCCCACGGUUAACUUCGUUAGCCUGAGGGAACAGAUUUAAAAGCACUGUUCUGAAAGUAAGUGGUUCUUUUUACACAAGAUGAGCCUGAGACCAAAUCUGAUUACCCAAAUGGACACGAAUGUAAUUGGCAGUUUUAAAUAACAGCUUACACUUUUUACCCCAAGCUUUUUCAACGGAUGAGCAUCCAGAACGCACUCCACUCUAAACUGUGUACAGAGUUAAGAGAGAUGCGUGAAAUUGCCUGCCAUGGUCCGACGCUGCUCCCCUCCUCCAGGAGCACGCGGCCCACCUCUAAGUCACACGCUUUACUGAUCAGACAAAACUACUGCACAGCGCUCACGGGAGAAUUUUCCCUCUGCCCUUCCAUGACACGUCCAAUAAAUUCACAUGAUGCAAAGCAAAUGGUUCAUCCAGAAACCCUUAAUUUUUAUCACUGGCCCUUUAAGAUGACCCUAGUUUUUAACGUUUUUCUUUUUAAGAUGAUAAACAUUUCCUCAGGUUUCCAUUUUAAAAGAAAAUGGUCCUGGAAAGACAAGGUAACUUCUCCAAGUUCCUGCACCGGCUUCUCUGAAAGGGAGAAAGGAAUGUCAAGGAAAUGGGGGAGAAUGCUUAGAGAGAGGACUGCUAGCAAGCUGGGCCCCUCUCCUUUUCACCUUAAGUCUUUUCUCUCCCCCAUUCACAGCUUUCGGUCCUUUGUUGGUUUAACAAACCAUUACAAUCGUACCCGGUUCAAUGGGAGGAAUGUGAACUCUCUAAGUAGCUGUCCUCACAAUCCACAUGUGUGGUCCAUCCCACAGUCCAUCCGCGGCAGCUUCGAUGUGCUGCUCUGCGCUCCUGUCGCCCUGGAGGCCAGGCACCUUGCUCACAAUAAGCCCCAAUUUCCCGCCGCUGCGUGCUUGCUGCUCCUUCCCAGUAGCCUAUAGCGAUGUCUCAAGUUGUUCUUCCUCUCUGCUUGCCGGGCGGCUGUCCUGUCCAUCCUGCCCGGGCUUGUCCUGCUCAGCUCCAGAGACAGACACUGCCUAGUGUGUCAGCUGCCCCCCAACCUGUCUUCAGCCCCCAGACUCACCACCGAAUCCAGGGCAGACACAUACCAGGCCCUUCCUGGUGAUCACGCCCAGUCUUCCAAUGUCAACCAUGCGGUAAACAGAAGCUAUGAGGGCGAGAUCCCCUCCCCACCUCAUUAGAACCGCUAGUGCCUUUCUCAGUUUCUAGUAGCCAUGCUGGCCAUGUUGGGAUGCAUUUCAAUUUCUCAGCCAAUAAAUAAAAAUAUUGUUUAGUGAGAUUAUCGUAUUUCAAAGGGAACUAAAAUAAUCUUUAGUAAAACAAUAUGAUUUCAGUUGAACUCACAAAGCUCUCUCAUGCUAUUUCACUGAAUCAUUUCCAUCUAACAGACCUGUGAGUUAGGUAGAAAGGCAUCUUCAUCCCUACCUAACAGAUGAGGAAACUGAGGUGCAGAGACUUAAGUUCUUAGCCCAGAGGAACUAAGAUACUGCAAGUAACGUACUACACAAAGCCAAGUGCCUGGCGCACUGUGAGUACCCCAAAAGUGGUAGAUUCUAUUAAUAUCAUUAUCGAUGAUGAUGAUGGGGACCAAGGGCCAAACCCAGGUGUUCUGAGUGAAGCCAAGUGCCCAUUCCUCUUAGGCCUUGCCAUCCUCCUAGCUAAGCCAUCUGCAUGAGCAGCGGACAUCAGCAAUAGCUUUUACUACAGUAUUUCCCAAGAAAGCCUCAGAACCUGCAGCUGGAUUCCCUAGUGCAACUGGUAUGUGACCAGCAUCCUCCUCAGGCUUAUCAGUCAACAUCUGCCACAAAGGGGAGGGCAGCCUUUUACACGUCCCCUGUGUACACAAGGUAGGAGUGUCGCCAGGGCAGCUUUCAAGCCUUUGAGCUAACAGGGUUGUCAGCAGAAAAUUCCACAGAUCUGCAGGUAUUACGGGGGCUGUGGAGGGAGGACAGCAGAGGAUAUGAAAAGUUACUCACAGCAUCGUCUGAUUCCCUGCUUGCAGAGAUAUUCAUGCUUUUAAAAAAGGAAAGGUUAAAAGAACUCUGUUCUAAGGUACUCUGCAGUUUCAGGGGGAAAAGUAUUUAUUCUCUCCUAGAACCUUUUUGAAGUGCCUUGAGCCUUCUUGGCAAAUUGUACUACGUGUCUCCAAGCAAUUCUUAAUAAACACACCCAGACAGAAUGCCUUUGAAAAGCUCCCA